UACGGGAGGCAGCAGUGGGGAAUAUUGCACAAUGGGCGCAAACCUGAUGCAGCCAUGCCGCGUGUAUGAAAAAGGCCUUCGGGUUGUAAAGUACUUUUCAGUCGUGAGGAAGGUGUUAAGGUUAAUAACCUUAGCAAUUGACGUUAGCGACAGAAGAAGCACCGGCUAACUCCGUGCCAGCAGCCGCGGUAAUACGGAGGGUGCGAGCGUUAAUCGGAAUUACUGGGCGUAAAGGGCACGCAGGCGGUUAAUUAAGUUGGAUGUGAAAUCCCCGGGCUUAACCUGGGAAUGGCAUUCAAGACUGGUUAGCUAGAGUCUUGUAGAGGGGGGUAGAAUUCCAUGUGUAGCGGUGAAAUGCGUAGAGAUGUGGAGGAAUACCGGUGGCGAAGGCGGCCCCUGGACAAAGACUGACGCUCAUGUGCGAAAGCGUGGGGAGCAAACAGGGAUUAGGAUACC
rnacentral:rRNA from 1 species